GACGAACGCUGGCGGCGUGCCUAAUACAUGCAAGUAGAACGCUGAAGUGAGGAGCUUGCUCUUCUUGGUUGAGUUGCGAACGGGUGAGUAACGCGUCGGUAACCUGCCUUGUAGCGGGGGAUAAUAAUUGGAAACGAUAGCUAAUACCGCAUAGCAAUGGAUGACACAUGCCAUUUAUUUGAAAGGGGGAAUUGUUCCACUACAAGAUGGACCUGCGUUGUAUUAGAUAGUAGGUGAGGUAAUGGCUCACCUAGGCGACGAUACAUAGCCGACCAGAGAGGGUGAUCGGCCACGCUGGUACUGAGACACGGCCCAGACUCCUACGGGUGGCAGAAGUCGGGAAUCUUCGGCGAUGGGAGCAACCCUGACCGAGCAACGCCGGGGGAGUGAAGAAGGUUUUCGGAUCGUAAAGCUCUGUUGUAAGUCAAGAACGGGUGUGAGAGUGGAAAGUUCACACUGUGACGGUAGCUUACCAAAAAGGGACGGCUAACUACGUG
rnacentral:rRNA from 1 species